rnacentral:rRNA from 1 species
AAUUUUAUUUAAGGUCUGACCUGCCCUAUGAGAAAUUAAAUGGCCGCGGUAUUUUAACCGUGCAAAGGUAGCAUAGUCACUUGUCUCUUAAUUGGAGGCUUGAAUGAAGGGUUGGACGAGAUAUAGACUUUCUUUAUUAUAAUUAGUUGAAUUUGACUUUUGAGUCAAAAGGCUUAAAUUUAUUUAUAGGACGAGAAGACCCUAUAGAAUUUUAUAUUUUUAUAUUAAUAAUUUAUUUGUUUAUAAUUAGAUUUUUUAUUUAAAAAUAUUUUGUUGGGGCGAUGGGAAGAUUUUUUUAACUCU